GAUGAAGGACGUAGCGAAAUGCGAUACGUAAUGUGAAUUGCAGAAUUCAGUGAAUCAUCGAGUCUUUGAACGCACAUUGCGCCCCCUGGUAUUCCGGGGGGCAUGCCUGUCCGAGCGUCAUUGCUGCCCUCAAGCACGGCUUGUGUGUUGGGCCUCCGCCCCCCGGCUCCCGGGGGGCGGGCCCGAAAGGCAGCGGCGGCACCGCGUCCGGUCCUCGAGCGUAUGGGGCUUCGUCACCCGCUCCGUAGGCCCGGCCGGCGCCCGCCGGCGACCCCCCUCAAUCUUUCCAGGUUGACCUCGGAUCAGGUAGGGAUACCCGCUGAACUUAAGCAUAUCAAUAAGCGGAGGA
rnacentral:misc_RNA from 1 species